rnacentral:rRNA from 1 species
GACGAACGCUGGCGGCGUGCUUAACACAUGCAAGUCGAACGGAAAGGCCCUGCUUUGGUGGGGUGCUCGAGGGGCGAACGGGUGAGUAACACGUGAGUAACCUGCCCUUGACUUUGGGAUAACUUCAGGAAACUGGGGCUAAUACCGGAUAGGAGCUCCUGCUGCAUGGUGGGGGUUGGAAAGUUUCGGCGGUUGGGGAUGGACUCGCGCCUUAUCAGCUUGUUGGUGGGGUAGUGGCUUACCAAGGCUUUGACGGGUAGCCGGCCUGAGAGGGUGACCGGCCACAUUGGGACUGAGAUGCGGCCCAGCCUCCUACGGGAGGCAGCAGUGGGGAAUAGUGCACAAUGGGCGGAAGCCUGAUGCAGCACAGCCGCGUGCGGGAUGACGGCCUUCGGGUUGUAAACCGCUUUCGCCUGUGACGAAGCGUGAGUGACGGUAAUGGGUAAAGAAGCACCGGCUAACUACGUG